rnacentral:rRNA from 1 species
UACGUAGGUGACAAGCGUUGUCCGGAUUUACUGGGCGUAAAGAGCGCGCAGGCGGUCGAUCAAGUCGAGUGUGAAAGCCCCCGGCUCAACUGGGGAGGGUCAUUCGAUACUGAUCGACUCGAAGGCAGGAGAGGGUAGUGGAAUUCCCGGUGUAGCGAUGAAAUGCGCAGAUAUCAGGAAGAACACCAGCGGCGAAGGCGGCGACCUGGACGAGCACUGACACUCAACUACGAAAGCGUGGGGAGCAAACAGG